AACUUUUGGCAACGGAUCUCUUGGCUCUCGCAUCGAUGAGGAACGCAGCGAAAUGCGUUAAGUAAUGUUAAUUGCAGAAUUCAGUGAAUCAUCGAAUCUUUGAACGCAUCUUGCGCUCCUUGGUAUUCCGAGGUGCAUGCCUGUUUGAGUGUCAUUUAAAACUUCUCAACCACUUGGAGUCUCUCUGGGUGGCUUGGAAAUGGGGGAUGUGCAGGCCAGCUAAUGGUCUGCUCCCCUGAAAUGAAUUAGUGGCAUCUGAGCAGAGACUACCACAGGUGUGAUAACUAUUGAUCAAUGCCUUGGUAUAUACUGCAGGUUGUUGCUGCUUCUAAUGACCCAUUGACAAACUUGACCUCAAAUCAGGUAGGAUUACCCGCUGAACUUAAGCAUAUCAAUAAGCGGAGGCC
rnacentral:misc_RNA from 1 species